rnacentral:rRNA from 1 species
UACGUAGGGUGCAAGCGUUAAUCGGAAUUACUGGGCGUAAAGCGUGCGCAGGCGGUUUUGUAAGACUGUCGUGAAAUCCCCGGGCUUAACCUGGGAAUGGCGAUGGUGACUGCAAGGCUAGAGUUUGGCAGAGGGGGGUAGAAUUCCACGUGUAGCAGUGAAAUGCGUAGAUAUGUGCAGGAACACCGAUGGCGAAGGCAGCCCCCUGGGUCAAAACUGACGCUCAUGCACGAAAGCGUGGGGAGCAAACAGG